rnacentral:rRNA from 1 species
GACGAACGCUGGCGGCGUGCUUAACACAUGCAAGUCGAACGGAAAGGCCCUGCUUUUGUGGGGUGCUCGAGUGGCGAACGGGUGAGUAACACGUGAGUAACCUGCCCUUGACUUUGGGAUAACUUCAGGAAACUGGGGCUAAUACCGGAUAGGAGCUCCUGCUGCAUGGUGGGGGUUGGAAAGUUUCGGCGGUUGGGGAUGGACUCGCGGCUUAUCAGCUUGUUGGUGGGGUAGUGGCUUACCAAGGCCUUGACGGGUAGCCGGCCUGAGAGGGUGACCGGCCACAUUGGGACUGAGAUACGGCCCAGACUCCUACGGGAGGCAGCAGUGGGGAAUAUUGCACAAUGGGCGGAAGCCUGAUGCAGCAACGCCGCGUGCGGGAUGACGGCCUUCGGGUUGUAAACCGCUUUCGCUUGUGACGAAGCGUGAGUGACGGUAAUGGGUAAAGAAGCACCGGCUAACUACGUG